rnacentral:rRNA from 1 species
CCUACGGGCGGCAGCAGUGAGGAAUAUUGGUCAAUGGGCGCGAGCCUGAACCAGCCAAGUCGCGUGCGGGAUGACGGUCCUAUGGAUUGUAAACCUCUUUUGUCGGGGGGCAAAAGACGCCACGCGUGGCGUUCCGAGAGUACCCGAAGAAAAAGCAUCGGCUAACUCCGUGCCAGCAGCCGCGGUAAUACGGAGGAUGCGAGCGUUAUCCGGAUUUAUUGGGUUUAAAGGGUGCGCAGGCGGAAGAUCAAGUCAGCGGUAAAAUUGAGAGGCUCAACCUCUGCGAGCCGUUGAAACUGGUUUUGUUGAGGGGGUGAGAAGUAUGGGGAAAUCGUGGUGUAGCGGUGAAAUGCAU